CAGUCGCCACGGGAAUACGAGGGGGGCAAGCGUUGUUCGGAAUUAUUGGGCGUAAAGGGCGCGUAGGCGGUUUGACAAGUCUGAUGUGAAAUCUAUGGGCUCAACUCAUAGCCUGCAUUAGAAACUGUCGGGCUUGAGUAUGGGAGAGGUGAGUGGAAUUUCCGGUGUAGCGGUGAAAUGCGUAGAUAUCGGAAGGAACACCUGUGGCGAAAGCGGCUCACUGGACCAUAACUGACGCUGAUGCACGAAAGCUAGGGGAGCAAACAGGAUUAGAUACCCCAGUAGUCCCUGUCUCUUAUAC
rnacentral:rRNA from 1 species